AGAGUUUGAUCCUGGCUCAGGAUGAACGCUGGCGGCGUGCCUAACACAUGCAAGUCGAACGGACGAGAGGAGCUUGCUCCUCAAGUUAGUGGCGGACGGGUGAGUAAUGCGUGAGCAACCUGCCUUUCAGAGGGGGACAACAGUUGGAAACGACUGCUAAUACCGCAUAAUGUGCGUUGGAGGCAUCUUCGACGUACCAAAGGAGCAAUCCGCUGAAAGAUGGGCUCACGUCUGAUUAGUUUGUUGGUGAGGUAACGGCUCACCAAGACUGCGAUCAGUAGCCGGACUGAGAGGUUGAACGGCCACAUUGGGACUGAGAUACGGCCCAGACUCCUACGGGAGGCAGCAGUGGGGAAUAUUGGGCAAUGGGCGAAAGCCUGACCCAGCAACGCCGCGUGAAGGAAGAAGGCUUUCGGGUUGUAAACUUCUUUUACCAGGGACGAAGAAAGUGACGGUACCUGGAGAAAAAGCCACGGCUAACUACGUGCCAGCAGCCGCGGUAAUACGUAGGUGGCAAGCGUUGUCCGGAUUUACUGGGUGUAAAGGGCGUGUAGGCGGAGAUUCAAGUCAGAAGUGAAAUCUAUGGGCUUAACUCAUAAACUGCUUUUGAAACUGAAUCCCUUGAGUAUCGGAGAGGCAGGCGGAAUUCCUAGUGUAGCGGUGAAAUGCGUAGAUAUUAGGAGGAACACCAGUGGCGAAGGCGGCUUGCUGGACGAUGACUGACGUUGAGGCUCGAAAGCGUGGGGAGCAAACAGGAUUAGAUACCCUGGUAGUCCACGCCGUAAACGAUGACUACUAGGUGUCGGGUACCACAGGUAUUCGGUGCCGCCGCAAACGCAUUAAGUAGUCCACCUGUGGAGUACGUACGCAAGUAUGAAACUCAAAGGAAUUGACGGGGGCCCGCACAAGCGGAGGAGCAUGUGGUUUAAUUCGAUGAUACGCGAGGAACCUUACCCGGGCUUGAACGUAAGACGAAGAUACAGGAAACUGUAUCGCCUUCGGGCGUUUUGCGAGGUGCUGCAUGGUUGUCGUCAGCUCGUGCCGUGAGGUGUUAGGUUAAGUCCUGCAACGAGCGCAACCCUUACCUUCAGUUGCCAGCACGUAAUGGUGGGGACUCUGGAGGAACUGCCUACGCAAGUAGAGAGGAAGGUGGGGAUGACGUCAAAUCAGCACGGCCCUUAUGUUCGGGGCUACACACGUGCUACAAUGGCGUGUACAGAGGGCAGCUACCCCGCGAGGGGAUGCCAAUCCUCAAAGCACGUCUCAGUUCGGAUUGGAGUCUGUAACUCGACUCUAUGAAGUUGGAUUCGCUAGUAAUCGCGCAUCAGCCAUGGCGCGGUGAAUACGUUCCCGGGCCUUGCACUCACAGCCCGUCA
rnacentral:rRNA from 1 species